rnacentral:rRNA from 1 species
AGAGUUGAUCCUGGCUUAGGAUAAACGCUGGCGGCGUGCCUAAUACAUGCAAGUCGAACGGACAUAGCUUGCUAUGUCAGUGGCGAACGGGUGAGUAAUACAUAAGCAACCUGCCUACAGGGACCGGGAUAACACUUGGAAACGGGCGCUAAUACCGGAUAGGCAAGAUGAGGGCAUCCUAGUUUUGUUAAAGUUGAGAGACACAAGUAGAUGGGCUUAUGGCGCAUUAGCUGGUUGGUAGAGGUAACGGCCUACCAAGGCGAUGAUGCGUAGCCGGCCUGAGAGGGUGAACGGCCACAUUGGGACUGAGACACGGCCCAGACUCCUACGGGAGGCAGCAGUAGGGAAUUUUCGGCAAUGGAGGAAACUCUGACCGAGCAACGCCGCGUGAGUGAAGACGGUCUUCGGAUUGUAAAGCUCUGUUGUAAGGGAAGAAACUAUGGAUUGAUAAUCCAUACUGACGGUACCUUACCAGAAAGCCACGGCUAACUACGUGCCAGCAGCAGC